CGUGUAGGCGGCUUGGUAGGUCCGCUGUGAAAACUCGAGGCUCAACCUCGAGAUGUCGGCGGAAACCACUUGGCUAGAGUCCGGAAGAGGAGAGUGGAAUUCCUGGUGUAGCGGUGAAAUGCGCAGAUAUCAGGAAGAACACCUAUGGCGAAGGCAGCUCUCUGGGACGGUACUGACGCUGAGACGCGAAGCGUGGGAGCGAACA
rnacentral:rRNA from 1 species